rnacentral:rRNA from 1 species
UGACCUGCGGAAGGAUCAUAGUUGUCGAGGGCGCGAGCCCGCACACACACGCCRAAAGCGAAAUGCGUCGUGUUGGCCCCUCGGGGACACACGUAAAAGAAGCGAACUGCACAAAACAUACGUCCUCACGCGACACGUGACAAAAGCAUUACAACCGGUAGCGUUGGAUCCCUUGGCACGCCGAUCGAUGAAGACCGUUGCAAACUGCGAUAAGUGGUGUGAUGCGCAAGUCUAAAACUUAUAAGUGAAUCAUCGAAUCGUUGAACGCACAGCACCUGUCCUACCCGGACCGGUAUGCCCCUUUGAGCGUCAUUAAACCUUCGACGUCCCGUCGGGUUCGGGGUCCACCGUGCCACGCGCACGGCGUUCCUCCAGAUGCAUUGCGAGGGCGAAGGCCGACGUCCGCGUCCACCGUGUCAUGAGCCAUGCACGGUGGCCGGACUCCUGUGCCCAAGCCCGGGACGGUCCGCAGCGAGGCCGUCCGAUGCGACAUUUCAAAAUGUGACCUCACCGGGGUAAGACUACCCGCUAGACUUAAGCAUAUUAAUCAGCGGAGGAAAAGAAACUAACC